UUGGAUUACUGCGCAUAAAGCGCAUGGUUUUGUGGUUCCAGGAUUACUAUUAUGUAAAAUAAAUGUUUUGCGUUGCGUUCGGGACGCAGAGAGUAAUGGCCGAACAGUUGUCAUUCAAGUACGUCGUUGAGGAAUGCGAAUCUGAGGAUCUGAAAGAGGCUGGCUCAGAUGACGAGGAAGCUAACUUGGAUGAGGAUGAAAAUAAUAAGAGAUUUGUAUUGUAUUCUAAAGAUUGAAUAAAUGAAUGCUUCUU